GUGCCAGCCGCCGCGGUAAUACGUAGGGUGCGAGCGUUAAUCGGAAUUACUGGGCGUAAAGCGUGCGCAGGCGGUUUUACAAGCUGGAUGUGAAAGCCCCGGGCUCAACCUGGGAGGUGCAUUCAGGACUGUGAAGCUCGAGUGCGGCAGAGGGAGGUGGAAUUCCAGGUGUAGCAGUGAAAUGCGUAGAGAUCUGGAGGAACACCGAUGGCGAAGGCAGCCUCCUGGGCCGACACUGACGCUCAUGCACGAAAGCGUGGGGAGCAAACAGGAUUAGAUACCCGCGUAGUCC
rnacentral:rRNA from 1 species